AAGGUACAUUAUCUCAUUCAUUUUCUACAUCUUAUUUUCUCUUCCAUAUGAAACUUCAUCAUUGAUAUCUUGUUGUGCUUCCUCUAAGUCCUUCUUUGGGAGAUCUUUCAAGUUCUUCACUUUCUUUGUUCCACACACACUUUCAGAUCUCAGGUGGUGGUUUUUUUUUUGACAAAUUAAAGAUCUUAGUUUGUUUGUUCUCACACUUUCAGAAAGAACACAUUUAUCUUGCAGAGGCUUUAAGACUUGUGCUUCAGGCUCAAUAUAUCAUGGCAGAGUUGGUAGCUGGGGCAUUUCUUCAGUCUUCUUUUCAAGUGAUUAUUGAGAAGUUGGCUUCUGUUGGUAUCAGAGACUACUUUAGUAGUAACAAUGUUGAUGACCUUGUGAAAGAACUUCAUUCUGCACUUGACUCUAUCAACCUAGUACUGGACGAAGCAGAGAUAAAGCAGUACCAAAAGAAAUAUGUGAAUGUGAAGAAGUGGCUUGAUGAACUUAAACAUGUUGUCUAUGAGGCAGACCAACUGUUAGAUGAGAUUUCUACUGAUGCAAUGCUAAAUAAGCUGAAAGCUGAAUCUGAACCACUUACCACCAAUUUAUUGGGCUUGGUUUCAGCUUUAACUACAAAUCCAUUUGAAUGUAGGCUCAAUGAACAGCUCGAUAAACUAGAACUUCUUGCAAAGAAAAAGAAAGAGUUGGGAUUGGGAGAAAGUCCUUGCGCUAGUAAUGAAGGCUUAGUCAGUUGGAAACCUUCAAAAAGAUUGUCAUCUACAGCUCUCAUGGAUGAGUCAACCAUAUAUGGUAGAGAUGAUGAUAAGGACAAGUUAAUCAAGUUUUUACUUGCAGGCAAUGACAGUGGCAACCAGGUUCCAAUAAUCAGCAUAGUGGGUUUAGGAGGGAUGGGGAAAACCACCCUUGCUAAGCUUGUGUACAAUGACAACAAGAUAGAGGAGCAUUUUGACCUUAAAACAUGGGUCUACGUUUCAGAAUCUUUUGAUGUUGUUGGACUCACCAAAGCAAUUCUCAAGUCAUUUAAUUCUUCAGCAGAUGGUGAAGACUUGAAUCUACUCCAACAUCAACUCCAACACAUGUUAAUGGGAAAGAAAUACUUGCUUGUUUUAGAUGAUAUCUGGAACGGGGAUGCAGAAUGUUGGGAGCUGUUACUUCUUCCCUUUAACCAUGGAUCUUCUGGAAGUAAGAUUAUCGUGACAACUCGUGAAAAGGAGGCAGCAUAUCAUGUUUUAAAAUCCACCGAGUUAUUUGAUUUACAACAAUUGAAAACAAGCCAUUGUUGGAGUUUAUUUGAGACACAUGCUUUUCAAGGCAUGCGUGUGUGUGACGAUCCAAAACUUGAAUCAAUUGGGAGGAAAAUAGUGGACAAGUGUGGAGGGUUGCCUUUAGCUAUAAAAUCACUGGGCCAACUUUUGCGAAAAAAGUUUUCUCAAGAUGAAUGGAUGCAGAUAUUGGAGACUGAUAUGUGGCGAUUAUUAGACGGGGACAACAAAAUUAAUCCAGUGCUGAGAUUGAGUUACCACAAUCUUCCUUCCAAUCGGAAGCGUUGUUUUGCCUAUUGCUCCAUUUUUCCCAAGGGUUAUACAUUUGAAAAAGAUGAAUUGAUCAAGCUUUGGAUGGCAGAAGGUUUGUUGAAGUGUUGCAGAAGAGACAAAAGUGAAGAAGAGUUAGGUAAUGAAAUUUUCAGUGAUCUUGAGUCAAUUUCGUUUUUCCAAAUAUCACAUAGGAAGGCCUAUUCCAUGCAUGAUCUUGUCAAUGAUUUAUCCAAAUCAGUGUCAGGAGAAUUUUGUAAGCAAAUAAAAGGUGCUAUGGUGGAAGGUAGCCUUGAAAUGACGCGUCAUAUUUGGUUCUCUCUUCAAUUAAAUUGGGUUGAUAAAUCACUAGAGCCAUAUUUGGUUCUCUCUUCAAUUAAGGGACUACGCAGUCUGAUACUACAAGGCUCGUAUGGUGUGUCGAUAAGCAAAAAUGUGCAACGUGAUCUGUUUUCAGGACUUCAAUUUCUACGGAUGUUAAAAAUUAGAGAUUGUGGUCUCUCAGAGCUAGUUGAUGAGAUAAGCAAUUUAAAGCUUUUGCGUUAUCUAGACCUUUCUCACACUAAUAUUACAAGGUUACCCGAUUCUAUUUGUAUGUUGUAUAAUUUGCAAACACUCUUAUUGCAAGGCUGUAGGAAGUUGACAGAGCUCCCUUCAAAUUUCUCAAAACUCGUCAAUUUACGUCAUCUUGAACUUCCUAGUAUAAAGAAGAUGCCAAAGCAUAUAGGAAAUCUAAACAAUCUUCAGGCCUUACCUUAUUUUAUUGUGGAAGAGCAGAAUGAGUCUGAUCUUAAGGAGUUGGGGAAACUAAACCAUCUUCAUGGAACAAUUGAUAUUAAAGGGUUGGGUAAUGUGAUUGAUCCUGCAGAUGCUGCGACAGCCAAUUUAAAAGAUAAGAAGCAUUUAGAAGAAUUACAUUUGACGUUUAAUGGUACAAGAGAAGAAAUGGAUGGCUCAAAAGUUGAAUGCAAUGUAUCUGUCUUUGAGGCUCUUCAACCAAAGAGCAACUUGAAGAAGCUCACCAUCACAUACUACAAUGGCAGUAGCUUUCCAAAUUGGCUAAGUGGUUUUCAUUUAUCAAACUUAGUAUCUCUUAAACUGAAGGACUGUGUACUAUGUUCCCAUUUACCAAUGCUUGGGCAGUUCCCCUCUCUCAAGGAGAUUUCUAUUUCAAACUGUAACGGAAUAAAGAUCAUCGGCGAAGAGUUUUACAACAAUAGUACAACAAAUGUUCCGUUCAGGUCCCUUGAAGUUUUGAAAUUGGAGCAUAUGGUCAAUUGGGAGGAAUGGUUUUGUCCUGAAAGGUUUCCUUUGCUUAAAGAGCUUACUAUAAGAAAUUGUCCCAAAUUGAAAAGGGCCUUGCUGCCUCAACACCUUCCUUCUUUACAAAAAUUGCAACUUUGUGUUUGUAAACAGUUGGAGGUAUCAGUUCCCAAGAGUGAUAAUAUGAUAGAGUUAGAUAUACAGAGAUGUGAUAGAAUUUUGGUAAAUGAAUUGCCGACAAAUUUGAAAAGGUUAUUACUUUGUGAUAAUCAGUACACCGAGUUCUCCGUGGACCAAAAUCUAAUCAAUAUUCUCUUUCUUGAAAAGUUGAGGUUGGAUUUCAGAGGCUGUGUAAACUGUCCCUCUUUGGAUUUACGUUGCUAUAAUUAUCUUGAAAGACUUUCAAUAAAAGGAUGGCAUUCCUCCUCCUUGCCUUUUUCACUACACUUGUUCACCAAACUUCAUUAUCUGUAUCUGUACGAUUGUCCAGAGCUGGAAUCCUUUCCAAUGGGUGGUUUGCCUUCCAACUUGAGGGAACUUGUAAUAUACAAUUGCCCAAAACUGAUUGGUUCAAGAGAGGAGUGGGGUUUGUUCCAACUCAAUUCUCUCAUUGAAUUCGUUGUUAGUGAUGAGUUUGAAAACGUGGAGUCGUUCCCAGAGGAGAAUCUGCUGCCACCAACUCUGGAGUAUCUUAAUUUGCAUAAUUGUUCAAAGCUAAGAAUAAUGAACAAAAAGGGUUUUCUCCACCUCAAAUCUCUCAAAUAUCUAUAUAUUAUCAACUGCCCUAGUCUUGAGAGCUUGCCAGAGAAGGAGGAUCUACCCAACUCCCUUUAUACUUUGCGGAUUGAAGAAUGUGGAAUAAUAAAGGAGAAGUAUGAAAAGGAGGGAGGAGAGCGUUGGCAUACAAUUUGUCACAUCCCUAUGGUGACAAUUGACCUCAUUGAACAGGAAUGAGAUGUUAUGGGUCCCACUUUUGGUCAAAUCUUUUUGGUUCGGAAGGUCAAGAGGGAUUCUGCGUUUGGAAUGGUGUGAUGGGAGUUUGGGAUUGUGGUGAUUUUGUUAAGAUUUAUUUAUUGGAGUGUGAUGGUGAUGCAAUUAAUCUUCUUUCUCUUCUCUUCAGAAAACCUGAGACAUACCACUUUGUUGCCAAAGGGAAUUUUGGUGCAUUCAAUGGCAUCCAACUCGAGAAAAAACCUCUGUCCUCAUGGUAGACAGGAGCUUCGACGAUGUUUGGAUCACAGUCUACGUACAAAAUUGGUAGAUGCUCAUUCUGCUGGUGAGAUCCUCUCAACCAUCUCAUCAUCAGUGUCAAGGAGAGAUUGCAUCUGAAGAACAAGUAACUGAAAGAGCUUCUUCUGUUUGCUAACCUCCCGGACGUUUAUGGAAAAUCCAAUACCUUUUCAUGAAUGCCUGUUUGGAUGAAGCAUACGGAUACCGUGAUGCUUAUGGAAAGAUGCCAUUUUUGCUUCAAGUUGUCGACAAUAUGGUUUCAAUUUCAAAUCUCUCGCUGAAUUGAAGACUGAUGAAAAAAGAACAAAUUGAACACCUGCCUUAGUUCUCAAAGUGAUAAGAAUUGGAGGAAAUAUGAGUAGAUGAUGAUAAAGAAAAAAAUUCAAAGUUCAAAGAGGGUAAAGACUGGGAAUGGAGCAUAAGGAACAAUGGUAUCAUAGUUUGUUGCGUGAUGGCGACUGGGGGUACGGUUCACGGUUGAUGUUGUAAUCUGGACAAUAGUUUUUAUACACACGUUGUGCAUUGUAAACAUUACUCUUUCUCUCAUAAUAAAAAGGAACUGCAGCUGCUCUGCAGUCGGAGACGUAGGCAAUAUUGGCUGAACUUCGUUACCAAACAUCGUGUGUUCA